AUGAAGUUAGCGGCGGACGGGUGAGUAACACGUGGGUAACCUGCCCAUAAGACUGGGAUAACUCCGGGAAACCGGGGCUAAUACCGGAUAACAUUUUGAACCGCAUGGUUCGAAAUUGAAAGGCGGCUUCGGCUGUCACUUAUGGAUGGACCCGCGUCGCAUUAGCUAGUUGGUGAGGUAACGGCUCACCAAGGCAACGAUGCGUAGCCAACCUGAGAGGGUGAUCGGCCACACUGGGACUGAGACACGGCCCAAACUCCUACGGGAGGCAGCAGUAGGGAAUCUUCCGCAAUGGACGAAAGUCUGACGGAGCAACGCCCCGUGAGUGAUGAAGGCUUUCGGGUCGUAAAACUCUGUUGUUAGGGAAGAACAAGUGCUAGUUGAAUAAGCUGGCACCUUGACGGUACCUAACCAGAAAGCCACGGCUAACUACGUGCCAGCAGCCGCGGUAAUACGUAGGUGGCAAGCGUUAUCCGGAAUUAUUGGGCGUAAAGCGCGCGCAGGUGGUUUCUUAAGUCUGAUGUGAAAGCCCACGGCUCAACCGUGGAGGGUCAUUGGAAACUGGGAGACUUGAGUGCAGAAGAGGAAAGUGGAAUUCCAUGUGUAGCGGUGAAAUGCGUAGAGAUAUGGAGGAACACCAGUGGCGAAGGCGACUUUCUGGUCUGUAACUGACACUGAGGCGCGAAAGCGUGGGGAGCAAACGGGAUUAGAUACCCUGGUAGUCCACGCCGUAAACGAUGAGUGCUAAGUGUUAGAGGGUUUCCGCCCUUUAGUGCUGAAGUUAACGCAUUAAGCACUCCGCCUGGGGAGUACGGCCGCAAGGCUGAAACUCAAAGGAAUUGACGGGGGCCCGCACAAGCGGUGGAGCAUGUGGUUUAAUUCGAA
rnacentral:rRNA from 1 species